ACACGUUCCUCUAGUUACCUAUGAACCCGAAUAUUCGUAACAGUUUCUUCAAUAAUAAUUGACGUAUGACCCACAUAUGAGCAAUUUAGACGCUCGUCUACUUAUUAAGAGAAUGGACAACAAUUAUGUGCUAGGUUGUUUUUGUUUGAGGCUGUGGAAGGUGCUGGACUAGUCAUUGGAAGGUCGACCUGGAAUUUUGAACAGAAGAUCUUUUCAUAUUUGCUUGAAUUUCACACUUGUACCUACUCCUUAAGUAGAUUAAAAUAGUGUUCACCUGCAAGAUUUUCCAAAAACGUGUUAAAAAACGCCAAUAAGUAUGUAAAUAAUGUAGACCAAGUUACUUUCACAACCAAAAGCGGAUAUCAACAGUUCCAAUCGAAUCAGAAAAUAGAAUAUCUAAGCCACCACACCAUAAAAAUAUUAUUAUGUCAGUUUAUGACAUAAAUGCAGAAUAUCAAAAAUAUAAUUCAACAAUGUGAUCAUACAGUUGUGUAGUUCCUUAAUUUGUAGUUGAUUAUGUCAUCAACUUUGAAAUUAACGAUGUCCCAUUGUGAAUAUCUACUUUCUGUACUUGGAUAUGCCGAAAUGUGUAGUUUCGAGAUAAACCCAGACCUGAUAAAGUCGCCGAGGAAGCCACGCAAAAGAUCCAACAGGAUACUACGUCCAAAAUAUCCCAGAAAGCCCAUACGCACAUGGUCCAACAUAAUGAAGACCUUCAGGAGAUCUACGAGCAAUUGAGCCGCCAUGUUUGUUGACUUAACAUAGUUUACAUUGUAUCGAAACUAUAGAAAUAGAUCGAACAAACUCCUUUCA